GGGCUCUUAGAAGUUUACAACAGUUUUGGUGCCGUGACCCGGAUAGAGACUGAAAUCCUCAAAUUCUCAACAAUUUGCCACAGAAGACUGAAAUCCACCUGAACUUCAACUUGAACCUUCAAGAUCAAGGAAACUUCACUUCAGACGGAAUCUUCAGCUCAACUGCAAUUUGAAGUCACUCAGCAAUACAAAGAUCAGACCACUUCAGACUGAACCUUUUCAGUUCAACCACGAUUUGAUACAACUUGUUGUCCUGAGACCCAUAGACACCAACCUUCUCACCUACAAGUCCAGUCACAACCUUCAAGAGGCCACUGCUAAACCAACCAUCACAGAAGAAAACACAACGCAGAGAACCACACACAGGAACUUCAGUCAUCCAUCAAUAUGAUCAAGAUUGCCGUACUAGGGAUCAUCAUGAACAUCGCACAAGCCAUCGACUCACGAAGCAACAUAUUCUUAGAGCUGAUGAAUAUGUCAAGAAAUGCCUUGUUUGCUGGAAAGAACAUCUGCAUGCCACACCCACCUUCAGUAGGAGCAGGAAUCCCCUGGGUGGCACAACCCGUGUCCAACUGUGACACGUGUACGUUCUACCAGCUAUCAGAGAAAAUACACACGCCACACCAAGCUCUCUACAUCUGCAUAACUCCGCUCCCACCACAAAGGAAGAAGAUGGCUGCAUUCCAGGACUCACUUGUGCACAAACAUGGUGGUCAAGAACUCUUGGAGCAAUAAUUCCUUCUUAUGGUGUGAUGCAAGCCCUUGAUCAAGUCAGAAGCUUAUCAAAUUCUGUUCAGAAACUGGCCAAUGAUACAGCUUUUGCCCUGGGUAAUAUCACAAACACUCUUGCUUCACACAAGAUAAUGAUCUUACAGAACAGAGUGGCGUUGGAUUACAUUCUAGCAAAGCAAGGGGGAGCUUGCACCAUCAUAGGCCCAGAGUGUUGCACCGGAUUAAUGGAUCCAACCAAGAACUUGAACAAAAUUCAACAAGACAUACUUGAUCUUUCAGUAAAAUUGCACCUGAUGACUGAAGACAAUUCUUCAUGGUUUGGAAACCUGUUAGGAAAACCCUGGCUGUGGAUCAAGGAAAUAGCUAUUCUUCUAUUGCUUUUCCUACUGUUGUACUAUCUAUGCAUCCACAGUAUCAAAUGUUUUACUCAACAUUUGACCCACGCCCAUGACGAAGAAAUGACAGUUCCAACCAGAACAGAAUAUUAUCUAUAAGAAAUCCAUGGAUUUUAGCGGCAUGUUUGUUCCUGUGUCAACAUGUCAUUUGUAAAUAUAGACAGUAAAAACUGAGCAAGUAGUAUGCGCCUGUAACCAUAAUACGUUACAAGAAUGAACUUUUUUUUAGUGUAUAAAUUUAUUUAUUGUGAGAGUU